GGAGGUAUAGCUCAGUGGUAGAACACGUGCUUAGCACACAUGGAGUCCAGGGUCUAAUCCCCAGCACCUCCA
rnacentral:tRNA from 1 species